rnacentral:rRNA from 1 species
GAGUUUGAUCCUGGCUCAGAUUGAACGCUGGCGGCAUGGCUAAAACAUGCAAGUCGAACGCGAAAGGUCUUCGGACUGAGUAGAGUGGCGAAAGGGCGAGGAAUAACUACCUAACGUGCCUUCAGGUAAGGGAUAGCUCAUGGAAACGUGUGGUAAUACCUUAUAAUCUCAUUACUUCAUAUGGAGUUUUGAGCAAAGGCUUGCUGCCUGAAGAUCGGGGUAGUUCCUAUCAGCUUGUUGGUGAGGUAACGGCUCACCAAGGCGAAGACGGGUAGCGGGUGUGAGAGCAUGACCCGCCGCAUCGGGACUGAGACACUGCCCGGACUCCUACGGGAGGCUGCAGUAACGAAUAUUCCGCAAUGCGCGAAAGCGUGACGGAGCAAUGCCGCGUGUGGGAUGAAGCAUCUAGGUGUGUAAACCACUGUCAGGGUUUAGGAAACAAAUGACCAGACCCAAAGGAAGAGCCGGCUAACUCUGUGCCAGCAGCCGCGGUAAUACAGAGGGCUCAAGCGUUAAUCGGAAUCACUGGGCUUAAAGGGUCCGCAGGCGGAUCGGUAAGUAUCUUGUGAAAUACCAUGGCUCAACCAUGGAAUUGCUCGGUAAACUGCCCAAUCUUGAACACGGUAGGGGCCCAUCGGAACUCUAGGUGGAGCGGUGAAAUGCGUAGAUAUUCUAGAGGAACGCCAGAGGCGAAGGGCGGAUGGCUGGGCCGUUGUUGACGCUCAGGGACGAAAAGCAUGGGUAGCGAACGGGAUUAGAUACCCCCGGUAGUCCAUGCCCCUAAACGAUGUGCACUAGAUCGCGGAGGUUUUGACGCCAUCGCGGUUGAAGUUAAAAUAUUAAGUGCACCGCCUGGGGAGUACGGUCGCAAGGCUAAAACUCAAAGGAAUUGACGGGGGCUCACACAAGCGGUGGAGCAUGUGGCUUAAUUCGAAGCAACGCGAAGAACCUUAUCCAGGGCUUGACAUGUAUGGAUUAUUGAUCCGAAAGGUGAUAAACGCUCUCUGAGUGGAACAUACACAGGUGCUGCAUGGCUGUCGUCAGCUCGUGCUGUGAAGUGUCGGGUUAAGUCCCUUAACGAGCGAAACCCCUAUCCCUAGUUGCCAGCGAGUCAUGUCGGGGACUCUAGGGAGACUGCCGGCGUCAAGCCGGAGGAAGGUGGGGAUGACGUCAAGUCCUCAUGGCCUUUAUGCCCUGGGCUGCACACGUGCUACAAUGGUAUCGACAGAGCGAAGCAAAGCCGCGAGGUCGAGCAAAUCGCACAAACGAUGCCUCAGUUCGGAUUGUAGUCUGCAACUCGACUACAUGAAGUUGGAAUCGCUAGUAAUCGCGCAUCAGCUACGGCGCGGUGAAUAAGUUCCUGAGCCUUGUACACACCGCCCGUCAAGCCAUGGGAGCUGGGGGUACCUAAAGAUGGUGACUUUACGGGGAGCUAUNUAAGGUAAAACCAGUGACUGGGGCUAAGUCGUAAC